AGCUUAACUAAGGGAAGGAAGAGGCGUUGUUUAAGGACACGCGUCACACAUUCAAGUCUCUCUCUCUCAUCUCAACCUCUCUCUCGCGGACGAAAUCACUCGGUUUCGAUUCCGAAACUUCGUGACUCCUCGACGGAUGAAUCUCUCCCUCGGUGGCUCUGGUCGGCCUGUUCUUCCUGUUUCGGAUCCUCCUCUCUCCGGAGAGAAUGAUACCUCCGACGGUAAAGGCGUCGAUGAUCAUCUUUUCAAAGGAUCUGCCAUGACCAAACACGGCGCUUACGCUGCUCUCUCUUGCAUGACUGAGCUGAUAAACGAGACGACGAGCGAUGAAGUGUUGGAAGUGGAGCAGAGUACAACGGUAUAAGGAAGCCUGUCUAUGACAAGCGUGGCGAUAUCAUCAAAGCGAUCCCUGAUUUCUGGCUCACUGCUUUCUUGAGCCACCCUGCUCUUGGCGCUCUUAAUUGGAAUUGGACGCAUGAAGCUGCUUCAUCAACAUAUCCUGUUGUUUCAACUCUCGUUGAAGGUGGAGCCACUUGCGUUGGCAAAACUGUUGUUGAUGCUUUUAGAUUUCUCUCUCUCUCUCUCUCUCUUUUCGAUUACCUAUAAUUCGCAUUUUGAGAAAAUGACCUGUAGUUUGGGAUUCCAGUGUGAAACCUUUUAUUUGUUAGCAGAGAAACAAGCGUGUGACGAUUGUGGUUCAAGCAUUUUGAUUCCUUACCUGUUACCACUCCUUUCAAGAUAUAUUAAUCAGAGCCUUUGUUUUAUGUA